rnacentral:lncRNA from 1 species
GUUAAGCCACCCAAUGAACACGAAUAUAAUGGAAGACAGCAAAGAUGCAUUUUGCUAGAAUCACACAAAUACACUUUCAUAUCUUGGUCAUUACCAUUUUUUGUUUGUUCAACAUGCAUCUCUUGAGUGCAACAAUUGGACCUUUUAAAUUUGUUGGAAAAAUUCCCUCUUAUUAUUAUUAUUUAUUUUUUUUUUCUUUGGCAAGGGAAAGGAGGAG